rnacentral:piRNA from 1 species
UGUAGGGGAAUGCACUAGUUACUGGGAGC